GUCGUUUUAGCUCAGCUGGAACAGCGCGUGGUUUUUAACCUUAUUUUUUGGGUUCGAUUUCCACAGAUGGCA
rfam:Picea glauca, whole genome shotgun sequence.